rnacentral:piRNA from 1 species
UAUUGACUUUAGCAGCCAAGCCUCUUGC